AAUUCGCGUGACACUUUUGGUAAUUAAUUUGUCCAUAAAUGUUCACCUUGUUAUAGUUAAUUGAAAAAUACAAAAAUACAUGUUGCAUGCAUAUUUAGGAUUUAAUUAUGCAUUUAGGAAUUAAUUAAACCUUCAUUUGGCUCUAAAUAUAUACCUUUUUAUUCUAUUCGUUGUCAUUGUAUGGUUUUAAUUUGUGUGUUAAUCGUUGUAAGUGUUAAUUAAUAUUUGUGUAGCUUUAUUUUUGAUUUUACGAUUUAAUUAGGAAUUGUGUUUAAAUUAAUGGGGCCAAAAAUUCAAAUAGAAAUCAGGCCCAAAUUGAUACAUUGACCAAGUCCACAUGACCGGGUCUCUCAUAAGUCCAAACGACACCUAUAGGCGUCUUAGAUCCGAGCCAUCCAUCUCCAUGAUCCAACGGCUCAAAAUCCGUCUCCCUUACCAAUUCCCUGGACCGACCCGUUACCCCGUUCGAAGCGACCCCCAACUAAAACCAAACGACAUCGUUCCCCUUAAGUGUAUUGAUUCGGGCCAUUGAUCUCAUCAGAUCGAACGACCCAGGAUCAAUUCCCUCCCCCGUAUAAAACCUCAAUCUCUCACCCCACGCCCCCCCCCCCAAACCAAACCCCCCUCUCUCACUCCUUCGUCUCUCUCAAACUCAGAGACCGGUUCCCAUGGAAAAACCCUAGCCGCCACCCCACCCCUUCGCUUGAAAGCCGGCGGCAACGACGCCGCUGGCCAUGAAAUUAACACCCCUGAACCACCAUGAUCCCCUCUCUCCAAAUCCACACUCAGCUUACCUCGAAUCUUCCCCGAACGUCUCGGAUCUUCAUUUGAAGGUUCGAGCAAAAACCUGAUCUACACCAACCGACCCCAAAUUUACACCAGUCACUCCCCUGACCUCACUCGUAACCAAACCAAGCUUGGUUGGGUUCGAAUCUAGGUAGAAUCCUUCGAGCCCCAAAUCGGACCGUGGGAACCCUAGAACUCAAAACCAUGGGGGUCUGUCCAGUUUAAAGGAAGAAUUGGGGUCUAAUAGACCUUAAUCGAGGUGUUCUCAGUUGAGGACACUUCAAUUAAAGUCCGUUCGACCUCAAAGAGGUCGAGUCCAGUUCGAGCAUGGGUUAUUUUUGUUCUUAAGCUUCUGAGGUAAUUUUUCCUUUCCUAUUUGUUCCGUUGGUGUUUGUUUAUAUCUGUUUUUUUUUGUUGUUUAAGGUGGUUUUAUUAAUUUUUCAAUUUUUGUCAAUUGAUCCCUGUGUCUAUCAAUAUGAAAUCACCUCUGUACUUGUUCGAGUCUAAUUAUUUGUUGUCGAUUGUAUGUGUUGUGAUUCGCGCAGUCGAUUCGAUAUAUGUCGUUGAUUAGUUUUACAGUCUUGAAUGUAGUAAUUUGAUCCAUCCUGCUUAAUUCUGAUUAAGUCAUUUGUCUGAAUUCAGUUGCGAACUGGUUAUAGGUUGUAGUUUGUUGGAUAGUUAGGGUCCAAUUGUUAGUUAGCUAAGUUUGAAUUGGUUAUAGCUGAAGAGAUUAAUACAGAUUGAAACAGGUGGGUAAGGCAGCAGUUUCAGGGACUUUUAAGAGGGUAUUUUUUUGAUUUUAAAGGAGUCUGAAAAUGGCUUAAUUUGAAUGGCUGUCAAUAGAGUAUUAAAAUACCAUUAAACUGAUACAUUGUUUAAGAAUAAUGGGGAAUAAGACUUAAUGACAUGGGGAGGUUGAUUAAAAUAAGUUAAAAUACCCAUAACUUUGAUUCAAAAGAGAAAAACAUGCGGUAUGGGGGCUGUCAAGAAUAUCAUGGGCAUUUUCUGAUUAGUUUUAGUAUGUUUAAGGGGUAUGGGCAGAGUUAAGGUCUGAAGGUAUCAAGGCAGCCCGGGGCUUGCCUACUUUGCCUAUAAAUAGGCUCAUUUAGAACAAAAUAGAGGUUGGUUUUUUGAUCCUGAGAAGCCAGAGAAAAGCAAGAGUGUUGAAGCUGGAGAUUUAACCUAAAACUCUAGAGAAAUAGAGGGAGUAGGCUAAAAAAAAUUACACUAAAGUUCAGUGGGUUUGAGAUUUAAAGAAGAAAAAUCUGCUUCCCUUUUACUGUUGAAAUCGGUAUUUACCUUUGUUACUGUUUCAUUGAGAGCUGUGGGAAUUUUCUGAAAGUCUGCUGGUCCAUCUCUUGUUGCAAACUCAAGUUUUGGUCAUAUUGUGGGUGUUUAUAUUGCUGUUGGUAUUUGGGUUGCAUUCUUGGAUUUUCUGGUGCAUUUGAUGCUGCUGUUUGGUGUUUUCUGAAGUUACUGUUGGGUUUUAAUCUAUUGCUGGGCUAUUUUAGCUACUGUUGUUGCUAUUUUGUUGUUUGCUACUGCCGCUGAUCCUCACCUUCCUCUGUUCUUGUUUCCAAUACCAGGUACACGACUUUAACAUGGCUGUUGUAAGCUGAAAAUGUGAAGCAUGAAUUCAUGUGAAAAGUUGAAGUUGAAAUGAAAACCAGAAAAGCAAUCUGUUUGUUUGAAACUUGUUGUUACUGUUUUAUUAAGUUCCUUAAAGCAUUAUUGAUUCUGUAAUUUGUAAAAAAAAUAGUCUCGUCAUUUUAGUUGUUUGUAAUGGGCUGCAGAAAACUGCUAUGCGUUAGAUCAUGUUAUUGGAAUAACGUAGUUUAGCACGUAUUCAAUCAGAACUUGACCAUGUAAUGGAUGUUGGAUAUAACUUUCGAUAAUUUGUAAAAUAGCACUUGUGGUUUGAUCCCUGAAAUAUCUAGUAGGUUGUUAACUAAUCUUGGAUUAUAGCAUGAUUGUUUGAGUUCUUGGUCAACUAGAUCUUAGCAUUAAUCUUACCAUCAAUUGUUACUUAAAAAAGUACUGCAACGUUUUAAGGAAAAAGAAGCGUAGUUGUAAGUCUAAGGUUGUUAGUUAAAGUAACGAGUAAG
rnacentral:lncRNA from 1 species